rnacentral:rRNA from 1 species
CCAUUGGUGCUGAUUGGGAUGAGGGUCCACCUGUUCCCAUACCGAACACAGAAGUUAAGCUCAUUUUCGCCGACGAUACUUGCCGGGUGACUGGCCGGGAAAAUAGGUAGUGCCAAUGU